rnacentral:rRNA from 1 species
GACGAACGCUGGCGGCGUGCCUAAUACAUGCAAGUUGAGCGCUGAAGGUUGGUACUUGUACCCACUGGAUGAGCAGCGAACGGGUGAGUAACGCGUGGGGAAUCUGCCUUUGAGCGGGGGACAACAUUUGGAAACGAAUGCUAAUACCGCAUAAAAACUUUAAACACAAGUUUUAAGUUUGAAAGAUGCAAUUGCAUCACUCAAAGAUGAUCCCGCGUUGUAUUAGCUAGGUGGUGAGGUAAAGGCCCACCAAAGCGAUGAUACAUAGCCGACCUGAGAGGGUGGUCGGCCACAAUGGGACUGAGACACGGCCCAAGCUCCUACGGGGGGCAGCAGUAGGGAAACAUCGGCAAUGGACGAAAGUCUGACCGAGCAACGCCGCGGGAGUGAAGAAGGGUUUCGGAUCGUAAAACUCUGUUGGUAGAGAAGAACGUGGGUGAGAGUGGAAAGCUCAUCAAGUGACGGUAACUACACAGAAAGGGACGGCUAACUACGUG